GGAGGUAUAGCUCAGUGGUAGAGUGCAUGCUUAGCAUGCAUGAGGUUAUGGGUUCGAUCCCCAGUACCUCCA
rnacentral:tRNA from 1 species